UGGUGGAGUGAUUUGUCUGGUUAAUUCCGUUAACGAACGAGACCUCAGCCUACUAAAUAGUUGGGCGAAUCCUCUGGAUUCGUGAUCAACUUCUUAGAGGGACUAUUCGUUUUUAGCGAAUGGAAGCGUGAGGCAAUAACA
rnacentral:rRNA from 1 species